rnacentral:rRNA from 4 species
UGCAGAAUCCCGUGAACCAUCGAGUCUUUGAACGCAAGUUGCGCCCCAAGCCAUUAGGCCGAGGGCACGUCUGCCUGGGUGUCA